GUUAAGUAAUUGACAUUACGGUUGAGGUCUGUCAAUAAUCCUCUGAUCUCUUCCAUUUUUGUUUUGAACAGUACAAGAAGUGUACGUAUAAAUUCAUAAUUAUUAGAAGGAUCGUCUAGUUUUUUUAAACUAUCCUUCUUUUAAUAAACCUGAAAUGCGGGCUAAGUGGCGUAAGAAGCGUAUGCGAAGGCUAAAAAGAAAGCGCAGGAAGAUGCGUGCGAGAUCAAAGUAGAUCAUGAAAUUUCAUUUUCGCAUUUAUUUUCAGAAACUGAAGAUUCUAGAAGUGAAAUUUCAUUUGUUAGAAAAA